GACGAACGCUGGCGGCGUGCCUAAUACAUGCAAGUGAAGUUCAGUGGCGGACGGGUGAGUAACACGUGGGUAACCUACCCAUCAGAGGGGGAUAACACUUGGAAACAGGGUCUAAUACCGAAUAAAGGGGGAUGGGCUCGCGGCCUAUCAGCUUGUUGGUGGGGUGAUGGCCUACCAAGGCGGUGACGGGUAGCCGGCCUGAGAGGGGGAACCGCGACAGUGGGACUGAGAGACGGCCCAGACGCGUACGGGGGGGAGCAGUGGGGGAUAUUGCACAAUGGGCGAAAGACUGAUGCAGCGACGCCGCGUGGGGGAUGAAGGCUGUCGGGUUGUAAACCUAUUUCGCUAUCGAACGGGUAGGUGGAGAAGAAGCGCCGGCUAACUACGUGCCAGCAGCCGCGGUAAUUC
rnacentral:rRNA from 1 species